AACGCACAUUGCGCCCCUCGGUAUUCCGGGGGGCAUGCCUGUUCGAGCGUCAUUGCACCCCUCAAGCGUAGCUUGGUAUUGGGCCCUCGCCGCUCCGGCGGGCCCGAAAGUCAGUGGCGGUCCCGUGGGACUUCGAGCGUAGUAAACAAAUCUCCCGCUUUGGAAGCUCUCGCGGCGACCGGCCAGAACGCCCAACUUUUCAAUGAUUGACCUCGGAUCAGGUAGGGAUACCCGCUGAACUUAA
rnacentral:misc_RNA from 1 species